rnacentral:rRNA from 1 species
UAACAUUGCGAUGUGGCAUCACAUUGCAAUUAUAGUUUCGACGCUUAAUGAUGGGUGUGCGUAUGAUUAGAUAGUUGGCGAGGUAACGGCUCACCAAGUCUACGAUCAUUAGCUGAUGUGAGAGCAUGAUCAGCCACACGGGCACUGAGACACGGGCCCGACUCCUACGGGAGGCAGCAGUAAGGAAUAUUGGUCAAUGGACGCAAGUCUGAACCAGCCAUGCCGCGUGAAGGAUUAAGGUCCUCUGGAUUGUAGACUUCUUUUAUAUGGGACGAAAACAGAUCUUUCUAGAUCCUUUGACGGUACCAUAUGAAUAAGCACC